rnacentral:rRNA from 1 species
AGUAUAGGUAAGUUCCGCCAGAAUACACCAGCUCCCCAUGGAUCACUGAAGUUAAGCAGGGUUGCGCGUGGUUGGUAUCCGGAUGGGUCACUAAAAAAACCUUGUAACCUACAGCG